GAACUCAGGGGCACUUGACUGCGAGCCAUAUCCCUAGCCUAUUUUGUAUUUAGAGACAGGGUCUCACUGAAUUGCUUAACGUCUUGCUAAGUUGCUGAGGCUGGCUUUGAACUCUCCAUCCUCCUGCCUCAGCUUUCCGAGCCACUGGGAUAACUGGUGUGUACACUGUGCCCGGCAGCAUUAUUUAUUUGCCUCAGAAUUUGAAGAAUCUGAGAAAUCUAAUUUUUUCAAACCUUUGAUUUGAAUUAGUUACUGAUUUUCGUAUUAAAUCCUCCCAAUUUGUAAGUAUCUGAAAAUAUGCUCCUGUGUACUAACUUGUACUGGAUUAGAAUCAUUUUUGAAGUCUAAAAUGUAAAUUUCGAAGAGGAUAAACUGAGACAUGAAACUUAUUGCUUCCUUUCUCUGGCUAUUUUGGGUAAUUCUGUUUGGAGCUGUCUAAUGAUUCAGAAGUGGAUGGGUGUGUACUAUGUUUUGUUAUCCUAAAGCUGGGUUUUAAAUUUUGAGACAGGGUAUCGCUAAGUCCCUGAGGCAGGCCUGGAACUUGUGAUCCUCUUGCCUCGGCUUCUGGAGUUGUUGGGGUUACAGGCAUGAGCCACUGCAUCUCCAGCAAGCUGGUUGAGUUAGAAAGCUGGGAAUCAAAGCAAAUAAUUCAGUGAAAUGAGGGUGCUGAAAAUGACUGCAGGGAUUAUGGAACUGUUCUGGAUUCUGGUCUAUUAUGACAGGAAAGGAAAGGGCUAAGAAUAUACAUUCUGGGGUCAGACCAGCUAAAGUUUUAAAUCCACUUGUACUAUUUACUUGUUGGAGUGAUCUUAGAAAAGUUAUUUAACUUUUACCUCUAUAUGUCUCAGUUUCCUUGGUAGUUAAAAAAAAAAGGUGCUGGGAUAGCACAGUUGAGUUGCAUUUUAGGAGUUGUUCUAAAGAUUAAAUGUUGGGGCUGGGGAUGUGGCUCAAGCGGUAGCGCGCUCGCCUGUCAUGCGUGCGGCCCGGGUUCGAUCCUCAGCACCACAUACAAACAAAGAUGUUGUGUCCACCGAGAACUAAAAAAAUAAAUAAAUAUUUAAAAAAAAAAAAAGAUUAAAUGUUGUGUGUAAGAGGCUAAUUACUAUCAUCACAAAGUAGAGCACAUAGUAGAUGCUAAGGCAGUAAGUAUUACCUCAUAUUUAGGGGACAUAUUUUUCUCAAGAAUUCAGGAAAAUGAUGAUACUACAAG
rnacentral:lncRNA from 1 species